rnacentral:misc_RNA from 1 species
GAUGAAGAACGCAGCGAAAUGCGAUAAGUAGUGUGAAUUGCAGAAUUCAGUGAAUCAUCGAAUCUUUGAACGCACAUUGCGCCCCUUGGUAUUCCAUGGGGCAUGCCUGUUCGAGCGUCAUUUGUACCUUCAAGCUUUGCUUGGUGUUGGGUGUUUGUCUCGCCUUUGCGUGUAGACUCGCCUUAAAAUAAUUGGCAGCCGGCGUAUUGAUUUCGGAGCGCAGUACAUCUCGCGCUUUGCACUCAUAACGACAGCGUCCAAAAGUACAUUUUACACUCUUGACCUCGGAUCAGGUAGGGAUACCCACUGAACUUAAGCAUAUCAAUAAGCGGAGGA